rnacentral:rRNA from 1 species
UUAACACAUGCAAGUCGAGCGGGGAAAGGUAGCUUGCUACCGGACCUAGCGGCGGACGGGUGAGUAAUGCUUAGGAAUCUGCCUAUUAGUGGGGGACAACAUCUCGAAAGGGAUGCUAAUACCGCAUACGUCCUACGGGAGAAAGCAGGGGAUCUUCGGACCUUGCGCUAAUAGAUGAGCCUAAGUCGGAUUAGCUAGUUGGUGGGGUAAAGGCCUACCAAGGCGACGAUCUGUAGCGGGUCUGAGAGGAUGAUCCGCCACACUGGGACUGAGACACGGCCCAGACUCCUACGGGAGGCAGCAGUGGGGAAUAUUGGACAAUGGGCGCAAGCCUGAUCCAGCCAUGCCGCGUGUGUGAAGAAGGCCUUAUGGUUGUAAAGCACUUUAAGCGAGGAGGAGGCUACUUUAGAUAAUACCUAGAGAUAGUGGACGUUACUCGCAGAAUAAGCACCGGCUAACUCUGUGCCAGCAGCCGCGGUAAUACAGAGGGUGCAAGCGUUAAUCGGAUUUACUGGGCGUAAAGCGCGCGUAGGCGGCUAAUUAAGUCAAAUGUGAAAUCCCCGAGCUUAACUUGGGAAUUGCAUUCGAUACUGGUUAGCUAGAGUGUGGGAGAGGAUGGUAGAAUUCCAGGUGUAGCGGUGAAAUGCGUAGAGAUCUGGAGGAAUACCGAUGGCGAAGGCAGCCAUCUGGCCUAACACUGACGCUGAGGUGCGAAAGCAUGGGGAGCAAACAGGAUUAGAUACCCUGGUAGUCCAUGCCGUAAACGAUGUCUACUAGCCG